rnacentral:rRNA from 1 species
CAGCCGCCGCGGGAAUACGUAGGGUGCAAGCGUUAAUCGGAAUUACUGGGCGUAAAGCGUGCGCAGGCGGUUUGUUAAGACAGAUGUGAAAUCCCCGGGCUCAACCUGGGAACUGCAUUUGUGACUGGCAAGCUAGAGUAUGGCAGAGGGGGGUGGAAUUCCGCGUGUAGCAGUGAAAUGCGUAGAUAUGCGGAGGAACACCGAUGGCGAAGGCAGCCCCCUGGGCCAAUACUGACGCUCAUGCACGAAAGCGUGGGGAGCAAACAGGAUUAGAUACCCGCGUAGUCCCUGUCUCUUAUAC